AUUGCUUCUCAGCCUUUUGGCUAAGAUCAAGUGUAGUAUCAGAUAACUUUUAUGCACAUAGGUGCCUGUCUAAUGUAUCUUCUUUAUUUUCCCUUCUUUUGUGAACAAUUGUUUGCAUACUCUACAUUUUCUGCCUCCUGAUUUUGCUUUUUCACUUAAUUCAUGUUGGGGAUGUAGAAACUGCU